UGCAUUUAUUAAAACAUGCAGUGAACAGUACUGUCCCCCAUGUUGUUGGCAGCCAUGAAAGAAGGAAAUCUA